ensembl:lncRNA novel transcript
GUCUGCCUGGAGGGAACCCAGAGUGGCAGGGAAAGACCUGAACUAGGGGCUGGCCCCAGAUCUUGAUUCGACUUUUGUAAAAUGCAGAGAUGCCACUGCUUUCUGGGGCUAAGGUCUUCUUUUUCAGGGUCGGCUGAAUGCUAGGAAGUAAACCUGGUGGGUAGGGGGAGCUGUGCAGUGGGAGUAGCCAGCCAGGUUGUUGGGGGCCUGGGCCCAGAGGGGCAACUCUCUAAGGAGAUGCAGUUGGGAGCUCUGAGCUGGAACCUGCAGAAGUCAUUGGCUCCAGCCAGAGCCAGUCAGAGUCAUCUCAAGCCGAGCCCAGUCCAGGCAUCUACAGACAAAUUUGGAAUCUCUAUAUCUGUAUAUUCCACAAGGAGGGAUACUAUAGAGAGGAAAGAGCUCCUCCAUUAAGGUCCUGACUUUGCCCGAACUCACUGUGUGACUUUGGGCAACUUACUUCAGCUUUCUGCACCGCGUUUUCGCUUCUGGAAGGUGAGGAGAGGGCUUUCUGUCUGCCUGGCUGACACCAUUGUUGUGAGAAUCAAA